rnacentral:rRNA from 1 species
AAAGGGAAUUUCCCUUAGGUAACGGCGAGUGAAGCGGGAUGAGCUCAAAUUUGUAAUCUGGUGGACUCAGUUCAUCCGAAUUGUAAUCUAUAGAAAAGUUUUCCGCGCUGGACCGUGUCUAAGUCCCUUGGAACAGGGUGUCAGAGAGGGUGAGAAUCCCGUGCUUGAUACGACCACCAGUGCUAUGUGAUACUUUUUCAACGAGUCGAGUUGUUUGGGAAUGCAGCUCAAAAUGGGUGGUAAAUUCCAUCUAAAGCUAAAUAUUGGCGAGAGACCGAUAGCGAACAAGUACCGUGAGGGAAAGAUGAAAAGCACUUUGGAAAGAGAGUUAAACAGUACGUGAAAUUGUUAAAAGGGAAACGAUUGAAGUCAGUCGUGCUCUCUAGGACUCAGCCAGUUCUUCUGGUGUAUUUCCUAGUGAGCGGGUCAACAUCAGUUUAGAUCGCUGGAUAAGGUCAUUAGGAAUGUGGCUCCCUCGGGAGUGUUAUAGCCUAGUGUCGCAUACAGUGGUUUAGACUGAGGAACGCAGCUCGCCUUUAUGGCCGGGGUUCGCCCACGUCCGAGCUUAGGAUGUUGACAUAAUGGCUUUAAACGACCCGUCUUGAAACACGGAC